rnacentral:lncRNA from 1 species
GGAACUUUCUGCCCUGACAAGAGGAAGACCUUCUGCCUGAGUCAAGAGGACAGAGAAGGACAUGGAGUACCAGUCCCAGGAAAACCUAGGCCCAUGAAGCACAAUCAGCUCCACCAGUGAUGUGGUGAAAAGGGAUAGCAAAGAAGA